rnacentral:lncRNA from 1 species
GCAGAUAGAUCUCCAAUCCUGGUCACUCCUAGUCUGCCCUUGGGGAUCUUAAAUUUAGUUAACACAUUUCCAUCCUUUAUUCUUUUAGAUUCAGGCAGGAAUGAGCCUUUGAGCAGGACAGCUGCUUGCUCUGAGUAGGCAAUGUCCAUGUUGAACACCUCCUCUUUUCCAGGGUUUCGAACUGUGCAGGAGUAAUCCUGGCUUUCUGGUUUCUGAACAUUUGCAGUCCGUAGAUUGUGCAGCAGCAGGUCUGGGCUGGGCUCCUCUUUUUCUUUUCCCGUCUCCCCAGAGCCGACCACUCCAAAAAUGUCUCUGACAUCCCUCACAGGAGGUUUGUUCUUCCUCCUCCGUGAGCGGGAGUAGGUAUCCAGCCUCCGCUGCACGGCAGCAGCCUGGGUCUUCGUCAGGGUGGAGAGCAGCGCGUUGUCGCUUUCUGAGCCAUGGUCCCCAAUGAGGUCUGAGAGCCCCGCGUCCUGGAGCCACUCCGCUUCGGCCUCUCCCUCCUCUUGUGUUUUGACAUCUGCAAGGGCGCAUUCCUCUUGCUCGGCUUCAGAGCUCUGUUUAAUGUUCUCUACUUCCAGCCAAAAGCUCUCCAUCGGCAAGUUGUCUCCCCUGGAAGUCGUGUCCUCUGACAAUGGGGAAGCCAAAGGGCUCUUCUGAGGAAGCUGGCUCAUUUUGCAAGGACAAUUUCUGGUACUGCUCAUCUCAGUUUCCCAACUCCUUCCCCGCGGGCUGGCGGCCGCCUCCGCACAUUGCGGCUCCUUUGUGAGCGGAGCCCACCGCGGUAGCCGAGCUGCUGCACGCUGUGGCUCCCUGCUCGGAAGCGGCCCCUCCGCACGCAGAGACCGCGCGGAAAAAGGGAAAAAACACCGAGACCACCAACCAGCGCUCUUCUCCCCGGCGCCCGGACGCGCU